rnacentral:rRNA from 1 species
UACGUAGGGACCAAGCGUUGUUCGGAUUUACUGGGCGUAAAGGGCGCGUAGGCGGCUUGACAAGUCACUUGUGAAAUCUCCGGGCUUAACUCGGAACGGCCAAGUGAAACUGUCAUGCUAGAGUGCAGAAGGGGCAAUCGGAAUUCUUGGUGUAGCGGUGAAAUGCGUAGAUAUGCGGAGGAACACCGAUGGCGAAGGCAAUCCCCUGGACCUGUACUGACGCUCAUGCACGAAAGCGUGGGGAGCAAACAGG